GACGAACGCUGGCGGCGUGCUUAACACAUGCAAGUCGAACGGAAAGGCCCUGCUUUUGUGGGGUGCUCGAGUGGCGAACGGGUGAGUAACACGUGAGUAACCUGCCCUUGACUUUGGGAUAACUUCAGGAAAUUGGGGCUAAUACCGGAUAGGAGCUCCUGCUGCAUGGUGGGGGUUGGAAAGUUUCGGCGGUUGGGGAUGGACUCGCGGCUUAUCAGCUUGUUGGUGGGGUAGUGGCUUACCAAGGCUUUGACGGGUAGCCGGCCUGAGAGGGUGACCGGCCACAUUGGGACUGAGAUACGGCCCAGACUCCUACGGGAGGCAGCAGUGGGGAAUACUGCACAAUGGGCGGAAGCCUGAUGCAGCAACGCCGCGUGCGGGAUGACGGCCUUCGGGUUGUAAACCGCUUUCGCCUGUGACGAAGCGUGAGUGACGGUAAUGGGUAAAGAAGCACCGGCUAACUACGUG
rnacentral:rRNA from 1 species